rnacentral:rRNA from 1 species
UGGGGAAUAUUGCACAAUGGGCGCAAGCCUGAUGCAGCCAUGCCGCGUGUGUGAAGAAGGCCUUCGGGUUGUAAAGCACUUUCAGCGGGGAGGAAGGCGUUAAGGUUAAUAACCUUGGCGAUUGACGUUACCCGCAGAAGAAGCACCGGCUAACUCCGUGCCAGCAGCCGCGGUAAUACGGAGGGUGCAAGCGUUAAUCGGAAUUACUGGGCGUAAAGCGCACGCAGGCGGUCUGUCAAGUCGGAUGUGAAAUCCCCGGGCUCAACCUGGGAAUUGCAUCUGAUACUGGUCAGCUAGAGUCUUGUAGAGGGGGGCAGAAUUCCAUGUGUAGCGGUGAAAUGCGUAGAGAUGUGGAGGAAUACCGGUGGCGAAGGCGGCCCCCUGGACAAAGACUGACGCUCAGGUGCGAAAGCGUGGGGAGCAAACAGG